rnacentral:lncRNA from 1 species
GGAAACUUAAUCUCUUAAAAUAGAGAUCACUUUUUGACAUUUUCUCCAGUGCUCUUUUGAUUUCUUAAUAUUCAUUUAGGAGACUGGACUUUCACAAUAAUUAAUCAGGAUGAAUAAGAUUCUUCUCCUUGGAUUUUCAGCUCUGUUCUGCUGGACUGUUGGCUCAGCUUUCUCCUUACGUUCAUGUGACACACCAACAGCUGACACACAAACGUAUUGUGACAUACAUUUUGGAAAGAUCGUCUUUAUCAGCCCAAGGCAUCAUGUGUAAAGUCUGUCUAGCUGGAAAUGAGAAAGGGUGCUAUUCUCCAGUUGGUGUUUGCAAGAGUGAUGUGGGACGAUGUUAUACGUAUGCAGCCUACUUUGGUGAUGAGCCUUAUUUCCUGACUUAUGAUUGUGUCAAUGAUAACUAUUGGUCCUUUUAUUGCAACAAUACUGAAAAGGAUGGAAAAUAUACACACAUCGAAGUUUGUUGUAGCAAAGAAAAGUGUAAUGGAGAACUCCCACCCCUGCCUCGAAGUUGGAAUUAA